AUAAUUUUCUCAGUCCCCCCCUGGAUAAGCACUCAUUUCCGCACUGUCGCGUUAUUGAAAUUAGAUCGCUUGUCGCGAAAAAUUUCAUUUUGUCUGUAAGUUUCCCGCUCGACGUGUUUUCUAUUUGUCUUUUUUGUCAAAUAAAUAUGUCUCAAACGCACAAUCUCCAAAGAGCAAUUAUCGAGGCCGUAGUAAGAGCAGUAUACGAGGCACUGCGAGAUCAACAUGAAGAGUCCUCUGAUGCAGCUACUGCCCACGAAAAUAAUACUGAACCACAGGUAACAUUCUAGUGUAUAUGGGUGCAUCCAAGUGAAAAACAUCGUUAAAUUUUGAUAAAUUUAUAACUUUGCCAGAAUUCCAACUCAAAUGAUGAAAAUGAGGGUAACAAUUCAGGAAGAGUUGGUCGACCAAAGAAAAUAAUUCCAAGGGAUGUAUUGGAAAAUUUGCUUCAGUUACGACUUACGAUUGUGGAAAUUGCCAGACAGUUUAAAGUCGACAGGUCAGUGGUCUACAAAGCAAUGUCGGAGUAUGGGUUGUAUCGAGAAAACUUUUCACAAUUGUCACAAGACGAAAUAGAGAAAGAAGUGGACGCCAUUAAACAAAAUCAUCCUAAGGCUGGCGAGGUCAUGGUUCAAGGGUACCUUGAAUCUAGGGGUCUUUACAUUCAGCGACAAAAAGUGAGAAAAGCCAUUCAUAUGGUUGAUCCAUUAGGUGUCGAAGAGAGAAAAAGUAAACCAAUAAAGCGUCGCAUUUAUACUAAUCCUUUUCCCAACUAUAUUUGGCAUAUUGAUGGGAACCAUAAACUUGUUAGAUGGAGACUUGUCAUACACCAUGGUAUCGAUGGUUUUAGUCGAUUAGUGGUAUUUGCACAUUGUUCUUCAAACAAUCGAGCAACUACUGUUCUAUAUCACUU